GGGGUUUUAAGUGACAUGGAUUUCCAUUUCCAUAUGACACAAGUGACAUAUUUAGACUGUGGCCAUGUUUGCUGUAUUUCUUUAUAGAAUAAAUGACUUUAACCUUUAAGGAAUAGAAGAAUGAAUAUAGAAAAAUCCUAGCACAGUAGAAAGACUCCUGCCUGUAAUUAAAGUAGCUUAAGUGUGGGAAGUGCCCAUGUUUUGCUAAUUACCAGACACAUUCAACUAGUUCAGUCCCCUCUCAGCCUGGUUUGGUUUGUCUGUGGCUAGUGUUUCUUCUCCAACUCUGAAAUACUUUGGUGUGGCUGGCUGUCUAUACCUGCCUUUAAGUUGAAAUCAAGCCGUAGAUGGCAAGUACUGGGUGGUGACCUAACCACGCCUGUCAGAGCUCACAGGUUCUGAUAACUUUACCCUGCUGGUGCCAAAUGCUGAAGAGGUGCAGGAUAGUGAGGGCGGGGGCGUCACUCGGGAGUUAACUGCGUAACUGUGUGAUCGGCCCUCACGCCCUCACUGAGGGUUCUCGGACGUUGGAGUUACUUAGACAACAGGCUCCAGAGAGAAGGGAAUGGAGGCAGUGUUGCUAAGGCGGAUGGAGUGUAGGUGUCCAGAAACAGGAAGCUGUGUGUCUGGGUUUAUGUUACCAGGUGGGUAGGGCG
rnacentral:lncRNA from 1 species